AUAUUCCACCAAAUUUUCUAGCAAACUCCAUCUUUUCAACCAACUCUGGAGUGAUCAAUCCCUUUAGGUAAAUCUGGGCUGCGUUUCUAGAAAUAUCACAUAACUACUGAUUGCAUUCACAACACUUCACCAAUACCAUCACAUACACUAUAUCUCAACACAUGAAUAAUCUUAUUCAUAAAAAAUAAAAAUAACUAGUGAUACACAUUUGAACAC
rnacentral:lncRNA from 1 species